GACGAACCGUGCGACCGUUGUUCGGAUUCACUGGGCUUAAAGGGCGCGUAGGCGGGUCAGCAAGUCCGGGGUGAAAGCUUUCGGCUCAACCGGAAAAGGGCCUUGGAUACUGCUGGUCUGGAGGAAGGUAGGGGCGUGUGGAACUUCCGGUGGAGCGGUGAAAUGCGUAGAUAUCGGAAGGAACGCCGGUGGCGAAAGCGACACGCUGGACCUUUUCUGACGCUGAGGCGCGAAAGCCAGGGGAGCAAACGGG
rnacentral:rRNA from 1 species